CUGCUGCCUCCCGUAGGAGUUUGGACCGUGUCUCAGUUCCAAUGUGGGGGACCUUCCCCUCAGAACCCCUACGCAUCGUCGGCUUGGUGGGCCGUUGCCCCACCAACUACCUAAUGCGCCGCAUGCCCAUCCGUGACCGGGGUCGCCCCCUUUGGCCGGCAGGGGAUGUCCCCUCCCGGCAUUAUGUUGUAUUAGGCGGGAUUUCUCCCGGUUAUCCAUCUGUCACGGCCAGGUUGCAUACGUGUUACUCACCCGUGCGCCGGUCGCCGGCGG
rnacentral:rRNA from 1 species